rnacentral:rRNA from 1 species
AUGCGAGGCCUUCCUCCAGACUCCUCCGCACUUUGGUUUGUGGUCAAGACCUUUGACGUGAGGCCGCAGGUGACAGAGGAGGAGCAGGCAGAGUGCGGCAGCGUUACAAUAGGCAAGCUUGCCGGCGCGGUUUGGUUUGAAGGAUUUUUCGCCAAGUCUUCCGACCUAUGGCAGCAGGGGUGGUUUUAUAUCAAUGAGCCACGGGGCUCCAAGUGGGCAGCUACGCCUGCAUUCCGACCCGGCCCUCCAAUUCAGCUUGCUUCAUGGAUCAAUAAGGGACUGGACUGGGGAUCCGUCAAUGAAGUGCAGACUCUGCAAGAUCGCGUCCAAAGCCUUACCGAGAAGGGCAUCGGUCUUGUGAACGUCGUUCAAGUAAUGCUAGUCCGCCAGACCCUGCCAUGUCAGCGGCGGCCUCUCUGUAUGUGGGAGUUUAAUCCCGAAGGACGGCGGACUCUUCAGCACUUCCUCGGCACUACGCACGAGGGAAUGUGGAAAUUAUAUUUUGGGGAACGAGAGCAAUGGCCGGACACCACCGAAGAUGUUGGCCUUGACUGCAAUCAUCCGGACACCACGGACUGGAUAAAGAAAGCGGUGUUGAUCUAG